rnacentral:lncRNA from 1 species
AAAUCAAUCCCAACCUUUCUUUUGUGGUCAUAAACCUUAUGUUAAAAUUUCAUAGAUUUCUAUUUACUUAUACUUAAGUUAUUGUGCGAAAACCAAGAAAAAUGCUUAUUUGGGCCCUUUUUGGCCCCUCAUUCCUAAACUGUUGGGACCAAAACUCCCAAAAUCAAUCCCAACCUUCCUUUUAUGGUCAUAAACCUUGUGUUUAAAUUUCAAAGAUUUCUAUUUACUUAUACUAAAGUUAUAGUGCGAAAACCAAAUGUCUUCAGACGACGACGCCAACGUCAUACCA